CAACCUCAAAUUGGGUGAGAUUACCCGCUAAAUUUAAGCAUAUUAUUAAGCGGAGGAAAAGAAACUAACAAGGAUUUCCAUAGUAGCUGCGAGCGAACUGGAAAAAGCCCAGCACUAAAUUAUUAGUAUUUUAUAUGCUAAUAAAAUGUAGUGUUUAAGAAGGUUAAUUAAUCAAAAGUAUUUUUGUUUGUUCAAGUUCAUCUUGAAUGGGGCCAAAAUCCAUAGAAGGUGCCAGGCCCGUAGAAACAAAUAAAUACUUUUGAAAAACCUUUCUUUAAAGUCGGGUUGCUUGAGAGUGUAACCUUAAGUGGGUGGUAAGUUCCAUCUAAGGCUAAAUAUAACCACGAGACCGAUAGCAAACAAGUACCGUGAGGGAAAGUUGAAAAGAACUUUGAAGAGAGAGUUCAAAAGUACGUGAAACCGUUUAGGGGUAAACGGAAAAGAACUAAAAAUCCGAAAAGGGAGAUUCACGUCUUCUCAUAUGUUAAAUAUAAUAUUUUUAAAGGAUAAUUAAUAAUCUAAUAUUUAUAGUAUUGGUAUUAUUUAUUGCCUUUAUUUAUUAUAAUUAGCAAUGGUAGACCGCACUUCUCUCUUAGUAGGACGUCGCGACCCGCUAGUUUAAUAAUUAUAAGAACAUAUAUUUUAGUUUUGUUAUAAUAUAAUAUUUUAUUAUAUUGUAACACAAAGAUAUGUUUCUAAUUAAAUAACUGGCGGUAUAAAACGAUAGUGUCAAGUUGCUUUAUUAAGCGUUUAAAUAAGUUUUUAUUUAUUAAUUAUUAAUGAAUAAUACAACUUGUUUGCUUAUUUAUUAUUUUAAUUAUGAAAAUUUUAUUUAAACAAACUUACAACACUAGUCGGCGGCGCUACAGUUUUAGUAACUUUUCCGACCCGUCUUGAAACACGGACCAAGGAGUCUAACAUGUGCGCAAGUCAUUUGGUUAUAAAACCAAAAGGCAUAACAAAAGUAAAGUAAGCUUUGCUUAAUUAGGGAGGAUAAUUAUUAACAAAAUUUAUUUGUUAUAAUUCGCACUCCCGGGGCGUUUAUUACUCAUUAUGAGUAAAGGCGUACCUAGAGCGUACACGUUGGGACCCGAAAGAUGGUGAACUAUGCCUGGCCAGGAUGAAGCCAGGGGAAACCCUGGUGGAGGUCCGUAGCGAUUCUGACGUGCAAAUCGAUCGUCAGAGCUAGGUAUAGGGGCGAUAGACUUAUCGAACUAUCUAGUAGCUGGUUCCUUCCGAAGUUUCCCUCAGGAUAGCUGGUGCCAAUGAUGAUUAGAGUCUCAUCUGGUAAAGCGAAUGAUUAGAGGCCUUGGGGCCGAAACGACCUCAACCUAUUCUCAAACUUUAAAUGGAUGAGAGCCUUGGCUUGCUUAAAAGUGAAGCCAAGGAUUUGGAUCUAGGUGCCAAGUGGGCCAAUUUUGGUAAGCAGAACUGGCGCUGUGGGAUGAACCAAACGCAAAGUUAAGGCGCCUGAAUCAACGCUCAUGAGAUACCAUGAAAGGCGUUGGUUGCUUAAGACAGCAGGGCGGUGGCCAUGGAAGUCGGAAUCCGCUAAGGAGUGUGUAACAACUCACCUGCCGAAGCAACUAGCCCUGAAAAUGGAUGGCGCUGUAGCGUUGUGCCUAUACUUUGCCGUCAACGGCAAAUAAGCAAAAUAUAUUUAUAUAUAUUGUGCUAUUAAGCCUUGACGAGUAGGAAGGUCGCAGCGAUGUGCGUAGAAGGGUCUGGGUGUAAACCUGCCUGGAGCCGUCGCUGGUGCAGAUCUUGGUGGUAGUAGCAAAUACUCCAGCGAGGACCUGGAGGACUGUUGUGGAGAAGGGUUUCUUGUGAACAGCUGUUGCACAAGAGUCAGUCGAUCCUAAGCUCUAGGAGAAAUCCAAUGUUGAUAGAUGCCUUAAUUUAAUAAAGGCAUCUGUUGAGCGAAAGGGAAUCUGGUUCCUAUUCCAGAACCUGGUAGCGGAACCGUUCCAAAUUCGAGCCCUCAAUGAGCUUGUCGGGGUGACCCAAAAAGACCCGGAGACGCCGUUGGAAGGUUUGGGGAGAGUUGUCUCUUCUCUAUAAGCGUUCGAGUUCCCUGGAAUCCUCUAGCAGGGAGAUAGGGUUUGGAACGCGAAGAGCAUCGCAGUUACGGCGGUGUCCAAAUCUUUCCUUCGGACCUUGAAAAUCCGGGCGAGGGCUACGAGGAAUACCGCACCAGAUCGUACCCAUAUCCGCAGCAGGUCUCCAAGGUGAAUAGCCUCUAGUCGAUAGAAUAAUGUAGGUAAGGGAAGUCGGCAAGCUUGAUCCGUAACUUCGGGAUAAGGAUUGGCUCUGAGGAUCGUGGCGUGCUGGGCUUGGUCGGGAAGUGGAGCGGUGUCAAUUAGCCGGGCCUGGGCGAAGUAAACAGUUUUAACUGUUGAUCUAAGCUCGGUCCCGCGCCUUGGCCACCCACGGAUCUUCCUUGCAAUAGGCUCCAUAAUUGUCAGUUACUAAGUUUAUCUUGGUAAAACGGAUUGUGGGUCUUUUCGGCCGCCUUUUAACGAUCAACUCAGAACUGACACGGACAAUGGGAUUCCGACUGUCUAAUUAAAACAAAGUAUUGCGAUGGCCCCAAACGGGUGUUGACGCAAUAUGAUUUCUGCCCAGUGCUCUGAAUGUCAAUGUGAAGAAAUUCAAGUAAGCGCGGGUAAACGGCGGGAGUAACUAUGACUCUCUUAAGGUAGCCAAAUGCCUCGUCAUCUAAUUAGUGACGCGCAUGAAUGGAUUAACGAGAUUCCCAUCUGUCCCUAUCUACUAUCUAGCGAAACCACUGCCAAGGGAACGGGCUUGGAAAAAUUAGCGGGGAAAGAAGACCCUGUAGAGCUUGACUCUAGUCUGGUACUGUAAGGAGACAUGAGAGGUGUAGCAUAAGUGGGAGAUGACUUUGUCAUCGUCAGUGAAAUACCACUACUUUUAUAGUUUCCUUACUUAUUCGAUCAGGCGGAAGGCGUCUGCCUUGGGUACUUUGCCCAGGUGUGACGGUAUUCUUGUGCCAAGCGUUAGGGUUGUCGGUUUGUCUAGAUAACUUUGGCUUUUCAUGAUCAAGAUAAUGGUUCAUGGUUCAAGAAAUUGUUCUCAAGUAUCAAGUUUUUGUUUCAAG
rnacentral:rRNA from 1 species